CGUAAGGACCGCGUUAAAAAAACAUGCUCCUUUUCUUCUUAUUAUCUUGGAAAAAAAUAUCACUCUCUCACCGCACGGUCACGACACAAGCCUUCACUCUCUCCCUGCAAGGCGGCGGUGCUGCCAUCUCUCCUUAUCUCCCCGCCACGGCGUGGCCGCCGCCAUAUCUCCCCUCAUGGCUACUCCCAGCUGCCUCCCCUCCAUGGCGUGUCAAUCAACCCACACCCUUCUCUCACCGCCGCCUCCCAUCCCCCAUGGCGUCGCUCAUCCCGUCCACUCCCCGCCACGGCGUUGCCAACACAUCUGGCACGGCGAGCAGCGAGAUCCGACCGGGAGGUGGAGAAGGCCUCGUUGUUAUCCGUUCGCAGAAGUCCACGUAGCUGGCCUGUCCGGAUUUGGGCAAGAUGACCUCAGGCACGAGGUGUGGCUCGACGAGUUGGAGGGAUGGCCCCCUGGUCGUCAGGCCCGGUCUUCUACUUCAGCCGAGACGCGCCGUCCAUCUCCAUAGCGGGGACAUCCCAGGCAGCGGCGGAGUAGCCUCCAAGGAAAGCCGGACCAAGCGCGAGCACGACAAGUAACUCGAGGCGCUGCACCGGUGACCAUGGGAGUCUUGUACACGAAGAAGUACUACAAAUUGGCCAAGCACCAGUAUUGGAUGCGUCAAAUCUCGGACUGAUCAAACCCAACAGCCUCGUUCGGUUCAGGGGGAUGGUUCAGGACAUGCUCGGGGCGAGUUCUAUGCCGGCUCUUUAGAGGUACUGAAAUGAUUUUAUUGAUAGGCUGUGGUGAAGCUACAGCUCAUGCUUCUUAUGCUCAUUUGUAAAAAACAUUGUUUGUGAAGGAUGUGCUACCUGGAGGACAAAAAAGUUCACAGACUUCUCACCAUUCUCGAUGAUGUACCCAUGUGAUUCGCAUCUCUGGGAGCACCAUCUCUGCCAUUGCGUGCCUGUGCAUAGGCAGAAUUCUUGGAUACUGGAGUCUCCCCCUGGACCUGUCUUUCGCCAAAUGGCAAACUGGUUGACACCUGAACA